UAAAGCAGGCAGGAGAUGGGCCAGCACCCCUAGGGGUGGCUUUUCCCACCUGAUGCAUCCUGGGGCCACUCUGCAGCCACACAGUGGGUUGAUGAGGCCUCUGGCACUGGAGUGGAGAGACUGGCACUGCCACUCAGGUGUCUGGAGGAUCUGUCAAUGAAGGAGGUGGCAGCACUGGAAAGCAGGGUGGACCUCAGAGAACAGACCAACUUCUGGGGGGCAACUCAAAGUCCCCUUUCCUCAGACUUACUUGGUUGUCAAAGAGAAAGCAAAACGCCCAUUCUCUCUAAUGAUUCCAGCAGUAAGUGGAGACCUUCCUGCUCUUGCAAACCCAACAACAAUGCAGACAAUGUGAAUCCGGGGUCCAGGGGAUAACUCCUGGGCCUUCGACAUGCUGCCUACCUCUACCAGCAAAUCCCCCACGCUCCUGAAGCCACUUCCUCCUGAAAGCCUUUUGAGAUGCUCACACCAAACUGUCUCUUCCUUCUCUGACAAUCUGCAGCUGUGUGGACUCCAAGUCAUGGGACAGGACUUGUGAGUUCUGUCUCUCUAUCAGGACUCAAAACUGGUGCGGUAGGGACUGGGCCCCGGAGGACUGGGACGCUGGCUCCACACCUGGCUCUGGGGUCUUGGGGCAUCACUGCUUUCUAUGCUACUUCUCAUCUGGGAAAUGGGCAUAUGACCCUGGCCACAAAGAAGUGAUCGCACAGGUAUUAGCAGGAUGCCCACCAGCACAAAGUAGGCCCUCAGGAAAAGAACUAACAAGUGAAUAAAAAUGAAUGGAUAGAAGGCAAGGAUAGAUGGAUGGAUAGAUGGAU